rnacentral:rRNA from 1 species
GGAAUUUUCCGCAAUGGGCGAAAGCCUGACGGAGCAAUACCGCGUGAGGGAAGACUGCCUAUGGGUUGUAAACCUCUUUUUUCAGGGAGGAAUAAAUGACGUGUACCUGAAGAAUAAGCAUCGGCUAACUCCGUGCCAGCAGCCGCGGUAAGACGGAGGAUGCAAGUGUUAUCCGGAAUCACUGGGCGUAAAGCGUCUGUAGGUGGUUGUUUAAGUCAACUGUUAAAUCUUGAGGCUCAACUUCAAAAUCGCAGUCGAAACUAUUCAACUAGAGUAUAGUAGGGGUAAAGGGAAUUUCCAGUGGAGCGGUGAAAUGCGUAGAUAUUGGAAAGAACACCGAUGGCGGAGGCACUUUACUGGGCUAUUACUAACACUCAGAGACGAAAGCUAGGGUAGCAAAUGGGAUUAGAUACCCCAGUAGUC